GGAGAGGUGCCAGAGUGGUUGAAUGGAACAGUCUUGAAAACUGUCGUCGGUGAAAGCCGACCGAGGGUUCGAAUCCCUCCCUCUCCG
rnacentral:tRNA from 1 species